AAGGAUUAUUAGCACGUGUUCCAACACGCAAACGCUAACCGUGAACUGUUUUUCGUUUCGUGGCUAUGGAUAGAAAAACAAGUAGAGAGACGGUAAGGAGAGAAAAGAGAUGCCGCCGCACCUUCUCUCUUCUACUUGUUGUUCUUCUUGCAAAAGAAGAGUAUCCAUGGUUGCUUACGUUACCGUGUUAUUCACUUUUAAACCCUUUGUACAAUUCUUUUGUACUUGAAAAUAUUUCGAUCAUACCUAACUUAUCAGUUUAUACAAACACUGUACAACUGUUAACAACGGAUAUCUAGGUUCUC
rnacentral:misc_RNA from 1 species